UUUUGCUUUUAGGGCACCAAUUGCAUGGGCUUGAGCGAUGCCUGAGCUUCGCAGGGGUGUUCGCAGAGGCCGCGCAGGGUUAGCGCCGCAAAACAGGCAAUCGGACCCUCCGCGGGUGCAAAAUUACGUGAAGACCCGUGCUGCUGUAGCUAGAGAGAGGAAGAGGCCGAGGACUAGAUUGGAAACGCAAAGAUUGAAGGAGAAACAAGAGGAUACUAAGGUAAUUGAGAUAUCGGAGAGGGAAGUUAGUGAUUUUUUGAUUUUGGAGAGGAAAAA
rnacentral:misc_RNA from 1 species